GCCAGGUAUAGUGACACAUUCCUAUAGUUUCAGGUACUUGGGAGGCUGAGGCAGGACGAUUACUUGAAUCCAGAAGUUCAAGGCUAGCCUGGAUAACAAAGCUGAGACCCUGUCUCAA
rnacentral:sRNA from 1 species